AUGGGGCACACUCACUUCUGCAAGCGGAUCUUUCAGCUCGAUGUGAACCGCGAAGGCUGGGCCGAGAGGUCCGGCAAGGAUGCGAAGGCCGGCAAGGUCGUCAAGGGGCCCUUGUUUGGGUUGCCAGCGGGGGUGGUCCCGCUGAGCAACAACUCGCGCCAGACCGACAUCGUCGCCAUGAUGCCGGACUGCAAUGCACACGGUCCCAUCCAAAAUUGGGCCCCGCCGCCGGAGGAGCAGGUGCAGGAGUUCUUUGACAGCUUGGCGGAGAUAUACGUCCGCAAUGAGCCACUGCUGAUCCAGGACACCACUCAGGCGGAGCUGGACUAUUUUGCCGCCAGGGCGGUGGAGACAGAGCUUGCCAGGUAG
rnacentral:rRNA from 1 species